rnacentral:rRNA from 1 species
UACAGAGGGUGCGAGCGUUAAUCGGAAUUACUGGGCGUAAAGCGUGCGUAGACGGUUAUUUAAGUCGGAUGUGAAAGCCCCGGGCUCAACCUGGGAAUUGCAUUCGAGACUGAAUAGCUAGGGUGCGGUAGAGGGAAGCGGAAUUUCCGGUGUAGCGGUGAAAUGCGUAGAUAUCGGAAGGAACAUCAGUGGCGAAAGCGGCUUCCUGGACCAGCACCGACGUUCAGGCACGAAAGCGUGGGGAGCAA